AUAUUUUGUUUAGACUCUAAAGUAAGCUACAUACACAUACAACCUAGGAAGCUAAGCUAGGUCUGUUCUAGUUAGUACUUGGUGGGAGACCACCAGUAAAUGCCAGGUGCAACAUUUC
rnacentral:rRNA from 11 species